rnacentral:rRNA from 1 species
AAUUUCCUACGGGAGGCAGCAGUGGGGAAUAUUGGGCAAUGGGCGCAAGCCUGACCCAGCAACGCCGCGUGAAGGAAGAAGGCUUUCGGGUUGUAAACUUCUUUUCUCAGGGACGAAGCAAGUGACGGUACCUGAGGAAUAAGCCACGGCUAACUACGUGCCAGCAGCCGCGGUAAUACGUAGGUGGCAAGCGUUAUCCGGAUUUACUGGGUGUAAAGGGCGUGUAGGCGGGAACGCAAGUCAGAUGUGAAAACUCAGGGCUCAACCCUGAGCCGGCAUUUGAAACUGUGGUU